rnacentral:rRNA from 1 species
UACGGGGGGUGCGAGCGUUGUCCGGAUUCACUGGGCGUAAAGGGCGCGCAGGCGGCUGCUCAAGUCAGGCGUGAAAGGCCUGGGCUCAACCCGGGAAUUGCGCUUGAGACUGGGCUGGCUUGAGUGCGGGAGAGGAUGGUGGAAUUCCCAGUGUAGAGGUGAAAUUCGUAGAUAUUGGGAAGAACACCGGUGGCGAAGGCGGCCAUCUGGACCGCAACUGACGCUGAGGCGCGAAAGCGUGGGGAGCAAACAGG